rnacentral:rRNA from 1 species
CUGCUGCCUUCCGUAGGAGUCUGGUCCGUGUCUCAGUACCAGUGUGGGGGACCUUCCUCUCAGAACCCCUACGCAUCGUCGCCACGGUGGGCCGUUACCCCGCCGUCUAGCUAAUGCGCCGCAUGCCCAUCCUCUUCCGAUGAAUCUUUCCUCGAUCUCGGAUGCCCGAAACCGAUAUACGCGGGAUUAGCCUCCCUUUCGGAAGGUUGUCCCCCUGAAGAGGGCAGGUUGCAUACGUGUUACUCACCCGUUGCCGGUCGCGGCGAAG